rnacentral:lncRNA from 1 species
GUCGCCGCCUGGGCGAGCUGAGGCCUGUCGGGGGUUCACCGGACGCAGCAGGCGGGCCGGGCUCCAGAGCGGUUAGCGCCGUGCCUGGGCCGCCAUCGGGGCCGGGGAGUGUUGGUCCUUCCUCCUGGUGGUGUUGGAACCGAAGUCUCAACCCAGCCGGUGCUAUUCAUCAUUCCUCCUAAAUGAAGCGAAGGAUGUCUGCCUGAGUUGUCCUUCCCUCAGUCCCCUGGC